rnacentral:rRNA from 1 species
AUACGUAGGGUGCGAGCGUUGUCCGGAAUUACUGGGCGUAAAGAGCUCGUAGGUGGUUUGUCGCGUCGUCUGUGAAAUUCCGGGGCUUAACUCCGGGCGGGCAGGCGAUACGGGCAUAACUUGAGUACUGUAGGGGAGACUGGAAUUCCUGGUGUAGCGGGGAAAUGCGCAGAUAUCAGGAGGAACACCGGUGGCGGAGGCGGGUCUCUGGGCAGUAACUGACGCUGAGGAGCGAAAGCAUGGGUAGCGAACAGGAUUAGAUACCCUGGUAGUCCAUGCCGUAAACGGUGGGCGCUAGGUGUAGGGGUCUUCCACGACUUCUGUGCCGUAGCUAACGCAUUAAGCGCCCCGCCUGGGGAGUACGGCCGCAAGGCUAAAACUCAAAUGAAUUGACGGGG